GUUGGAAAUCAUUCAUAGAGUGUAAAGGCAUAAGGGAGCUUGACUGCGAGACCUACAAGUCGAGCAGGGUCGAAAGACGGACUUAGUGAUCCGGUGGUUCCGCAUGGAAGGGCCAUCGCUCAACGGAUAAAAGCUACCCCGGGGAUAACAGGCUUAUCUCCCCCAAGAGUUCACAUCGACGGGGAGGUUUGGCACCUCGAUGUCGGCUCAUCGCAUCCUGGGGCUGUAGUCGGUCCCAAGGGUUGGGCUGUUCGCCCAUUAAAGCGGUACGCGAGCUGGGUUCAGAACGUCGUGAGACAGUUCGGUCCCUAUCCGUCGUGGGCGUAGGAAAUUUGAGAGGAGCUGUCCUUAGUACGAGAGGACCGGGAUGGACAUACCUCUGGUGUACCAGUUGUCGUGCCAACGGCAUAGCUGGGUAGCUAUGUGUGGACGGGAUAAGUGCUGAAAGCAUCUAAGCAUGAAGCCCCCCUCAAGAUGAGAUUUCCCAACUUCGGUUAUAAGAUCCCUCAAAGAUGAUGAGGUUAAUAGGUUCGAGGUGGAAGCAUGGUGACAUGUGGAGCUGACGAAUACUAAUCGAUCGAAGACUUAAUCAA
rnacentral:rRNA from 1 species